rnacentral:rRNA from 1 species
ACUCGGGGUAAAAUGUGGUUAAAUUAACUUAAGAUAAUAAAGUCGAAUGCUCUCAUAACUGUUAUACGUACUCGAAAGCCAGAAGCUCCCCUACGAAAGUGACUUUAGAAUUAUUGAACCCACGAAAGCUAAGAUACAAACUGGGAUUAGAUACCCCACUAUGCUUAGCCCUAAACUUUAAUAACUUUACUACAAAAACUAUACGCCAGGGAACUACGAGCAUUAGCUUAAAACCCAAAGGACUUGGCGGUGCUUAAUAACCCCCUAGAGGAGCCUGUUCUAGAACCGAUAACCCUCGUUCAACCUCACCCUUUCUUGUUCAUCCCGCCUAUAUACCGCCGUCGUCAGCUUACCCUGUGAAGGCCAUAAAAGUAAGCAAAACAGUAA